rnacentral:lncRNA from 1 species
UGGUGUUCUCGAUGCUGGAGGGCCUACUUGACCUAUCACCAGAAGGUGUUGCUGCUUUGUAACCAGGCGCUGUACCACCUCAAGCCAUGGUGCAUCCAGAGAUAAAUAAUGGUAUAUUUUGCCUGUUUGAUGAGAGCCUGGUUUGAAGAGCAUAGGAAAAAAAAAAAGGGUAUGAUGGAGGCUACCCCACUGCUGAGGGAGGCAGAGGAAUUCUGGUAUCGUCAGCAUUCACAGCCAUUCUCUUCCCUGACUCUCUGGGGGUACUUCCUAUGAGAGAUACGAGUGAUAUGCUACAAGUCUCUGGAGUGGUGCUUAGAUGACUGGAAUCCUUCUGAGAAGGCAAUGUACCCUGAUUACUUAGCCAAGAGAGAGCAGUGGAAGAAACUGCUGAGGCAAAGCCAGGAGUGAGAGGUUAAGCAGCUGCAGGAGGAAAUCCCAACUGGUGGUCUAGGACUGAAGCUUUGCCCCCUGUGGUGGUAUAUUGUGACCAGACCCCGGGAGUGGCCCAUG